rnacentral:misc_RNA from 1 species
GCCAAAUUACACACAAAAUGUCUCGCACAAGCUUAAUACUUCUUCUUGUUUGUUUCGUGUGCGUCGCCGAGAUUACAAAUGCGUACUUCAUUAAAGAACGAAGUGAAAGUGCACUCCACAAAUCAUGUGCUAGCGAAGGACAAAAGUGCAAGACCAAUGAAGAUUGCUGCAAUAAAGCAUGUUUUCCAUUGAUGUGGAAAUGCAUGUCAUAAUUUUAUUUUAAAAGAAUCUAAUAUUAUAUUAUUUUAUUAUUUUACGGUACAGAAGGGUUACGAUUGGAUAAUUCAGGAGAAUUUGGAACUUUUUCGUAAAAUUAUUUUAUCUAAAUAUAAUAUUGUAUAAUACAAUAAAAUGAAAUAAAAUGUACGUUCGUUUAUUUUAUUUAUUUAACAAUUUUAUUAAUUACUGGUACCACUUCGAAGUCCCUCUUAAAAAAGUGGUAAAACUUUACUAUAUUUUAAAAAUUUGGAAAAGAACCUAUUUUAAUAGC